rnacentral:rRNA from 1 species
AUACGGAGGGAGCAAGCGUUAUUCGGAAUCACUGGGCGUAAAGGACGCGUAGGCGGGUUUGUAAGUCAGGUGUGAAAUCCUACAGCUCAACUGUAGAACUGCACUUGAAACUACAGGCCUAGAGUAUGGAAGGGGCAGAUGGAAUUAGUGGUGUAGGGGUAAAAUCCGUAGAUAUCACUAGGAAUACCGAAAGCGAAGGCGAUCCGCUGGGACAUUACUGACGCUGAGGCGUGAAAGCGUGGGGAGCAAACAGGAUUAGAAACCCCAGUAGUCC